AUCACUUCCUGUUCUCACUUACGUUAUAGCAGCUCUCUCUCUCUCUAUUCUCUCUCUUCAACUUAAUAAGAGAAAAAAAUGAAAAAAUCACAGCUUGUUGCCAUAGAAACCGUAAAGAAUUGUAAACUUCUGUUGUGAAGAUGUUCCAACUUAUACACAGCGCUGACACUGGAGACUCCUUCCUUCCUUCCACACACACACACACACACACACACACACACACACUUUUCUACUUAUAGAAAACGUCACCAUGGCAACCGUCCCUGUCACUAACGUAUUAGAGCGAGCUCAUUCAUUUAAAACUGCGCUGCUGUCAGAGCUGCUGUCCAGGAGAAUUACUCAGCAUCUGAUGACCAAUCAUUUGAGUUUGAAGUUUUAGCAAAGAAUUUAUGUUCAAUACAAUUACAGUUUCGUUAACAGGUUUAAAUUCUUUUUUUGUUUUUUGAGGUCGUUUAUCUGAAUUGUGAGCACAAGCUCAUGUGAAGGAAACUUUAUCCGUGUUUAAGUUGUGACAUCAGCCUUAAACUUAACGGUAAGCGCGAUCAAUUCAGAAACUUCCUCUUGCUCUCGUCCUCUCUUCCUCUGCUCUCAGGUCUGACCAGAGUUAAAUCAUUCACGACCAUCAUUUCAGUUUCCUUCCUGCGUGUACUGCUGACCUCUCCAGCAUCGCUCGAUAUCCAGCUAUUGAUUUUCCCGUGGAGCCGGCGCUUCCCGAUGAGAGCGUGCGGAAUGAUCUCUUCUCUACAGAGCAGGAAAUGACACGGCACAGCACCGGGGUUUCUUUUCUCCUCCUCCUCCUCCUCCUCCUCCUCCUCCUCACAGCUCAGAGUGAACAGAGUAAAAUACAUCUCUGUGAAUCCUGUGGUCAUUUCCUUAUCGCGCCGCUCCGGUCCUUUACUUCACUGCAGAAGCUAGUUCUUCACCAUGUUCUCUCUCUCUGAUGGACCAGCGUGUUUCUUUUUCCCCAUCAUGCACGGCUCCAGCUCCGCCCCCAGCCGCACUGACCUGAAUAAAGAUAAGAAUUAAGGCUGUGUUUUGAAGCUCAGCAUCAUCCUGAACAUCAGCUGAAGAGUUUUCAUGGAUGUUUGCUCUUGUCCUCACGGCUCGAUACACCACAGUGGAACGCUGUUCACUCUGAAGAAUCAGAAAGACCACCUGCUGUUCCGAAAACAUUCCACCUGAAUCAGGAAUCACGGCUUUAUCGGCUUUACAUGUUUAUAUCGGGAAAAAUCCAUCCGGAAUAAUCGAGAUUCAGAGCAUGGAGAGAUCGCCGCUUACUCUGUCUCACUGAGAGUUAGGAACGAUUAAUCCUGUAAAAACCAGCAACUGACCAGAUCAUACACACCCCAUACAUCAGCUGCUGACACACACACACAAAGACACAUACACACACACAUACACAAACACAGACACACACACACACACACACACACAUACAUACAAAAGGUCUUAAAGAAUCUCGUUAAAAUCUGCAGCACAUAAACAGUACAGUUGUGUGCAAAAGUUUGUGCACCCUUAUGGCUGAACGUUGAUUCAGCGUCACUCAGGAGACCAGAGAACAAUCCAAGCCUCAAUAAUCUGAGGUUAAUAAUUUAAAACAUUCCAUCUCAAAGUGUUUUAUUCCUGUUAUUCCUCUCUCUCUCUCUCUCUCUGUCUCUCUCUCUCUCUCUCUCUCUCUCUCUCUCUGUCUCUCUCUCUCUCUAGCAGAGCUUCACAAUUGACUUAACAC